GAUGAACGCUGGCGGCGUGCCUAAUACAUGCAAGUCGAGCGAACAGACGAGGAGCUUGCUCCUCUGACGUUAGCGGCGGACGGGUGAGUAACACGUGGAUAACCUACCUAUAAGACUGGGAUAAAUUCGGGAAACCGGAGCUAAUACCGGAUAAUAUAUUGAACCGCAUGGUUCAAUAGUGAAAGACGGUUUUGCUGUCACUUAUAGAUGGAUCCGCGCCGCAUUAGCUAGUUGGUAAGGUAACGGCUUACCAAGGCGACGAUGCGUAGCCGACCUGAGAGGGUGAUCGGCCACACUGGAACUGAGACACGGUCCAGACUCCUACGGGAGGCAGCAGUAGGAAAUCUUCCGCAAAGGGCGAAAGCCUGACGGAGCAACGCCGCGUGAGUGAUGAAGGUCUUCGGAUCGUAAAACUCUGUUAUUAGGGAAGAACAAAUGUGUAAGUAACUAUGCACGUCUUGACGGUACCUAAUCAGAAAGCCACGGCUAACUACGUG
rnacentral:rRNA from 1 species